UCGUCGGAGCCGAAGCGCAACACCGUGGGCUGCGCCGCGGCGGCGGCGGCGGCGGCGGCGGAGUGCUUGUUCUUGCGGCGUCCGGCGCCGACGGGGACGUUCCUCAUGGAGCCGCCAGCGGUCCAGUAUCGCUGGCAGUUCUUGCAGAAGUGGCGGGGCUGGUUGACGUUGUAAUUGUUGUAGUAGCAGAACUUGGUGGCCAUGCUGUUGCACCGCGGGCAGGGGAUGAUCUUCUCCGGCUUCUUCAUCGCCGUCUUCUCCGGCCCCGGCGGCUCGAUCUUGCAGUCUCCCUCCUCUUCGCCCUCCGGCCCUUUCGCCGGCGCCGCCUCCAGGUCGGCGGCGGGACGUUCGAUUCCCGCCCCCGAUCCAGGGCAAUCAUCGUCACAACUCUCCUUCAUGCGUUUCGCAAGCUCCUGCGAUUCCACGGAUGCUUCCCCGUCAGAUCGAAGAACACGAAUUCAAACACAGAAAAAAAAAACGGAAAAUCCGAGAGGGAAGCAAACUCAGACGAAUCAGCCCGGAACGAGAAUUGAGAAGAAGGAAACCCGAGAUCGACCGGCGAAAAACCAGCAAGGCUCCGCGGAAAAUCACAUCGGAUCGCCUUCUCCGCCUCUACCCGCCCGACGAUGGAUCAAGCGGGGGUGGAAGAACGGAGAGGACAAUUCCAAUCGCAAGGCGGAUAAUCAAAUCCGAUGCCUCCGAGAGAUCAAAAGCUCCACCCUUGAUCUGGGGGACGACCCAACAGCCGAACCCACCUCGCCAAUUGCCUCUCCUCCUCCUUUCUCUCCUCCUCCUCCGCCGCCGCCAUCCUCAACAGGCGCCGGAAAGUCGUUCGCUCCGGGCGGCGCCACCGGGAUCGUCUUCCCGAACAGCUUCACGAGACCCCUCCCUCCCCCUGCCAUCUCCUGCGCGACCUCUCUCCUCCCUUACUCUGUCCUCGCAGUCUCUCUCUCUCUCUCUCUCCUCCCUUCGUCCUCUUCCUCUCUCUCUCUCUCUCUCUGCCUGCGUACGACUCCGUUCUGUUCGUCUGCCCUUCUCGCUCUUCC
rnacentral:lncRNA from 1 species